rnacentral:lncRNA from 10 species
GCACCAGCAAUUUCCCAGCAGUGCCUCCCUUUCCCCACUGACAGUUGACCGUGGCUCUGAAAAUUGGCUCUUGGAAUCAGCUGUGCCUGCCCAGCUGGGCCCCAGCUCAGCAGUGCCUGGGACUUUGAUGCAGUUCAACCUGAGAGGGGGCUCUGCUUUUCUGAGAGAUAUUCAGCUCCUGCUUGUCUCACAUAUAUUUUUAGAAGCUUCAACUGGAUGCACAGUUAAAAAUGAGACUGAAGACCAAAGUAAAUAUUUGCAUAGCAGGAUCUUGGAGUGGCGGAGAAGAGAGAAGGAAGAGAGGAGUUCUGAUGGGCCUGGCUUCAGGCCUCAGCUCUGCUUCUGAGUGGCUGCACUUGCUUGGAGCAAGUCUCCUUUAGUCUGACUCUUCUGCGAUUAGUGAGAAUCUGGCAGAGUGCAGGGGAGUAAAACCAAGCUAGACUUGAAAUGGAAUGAACAAUAUGAAGAAUCUAUCCUGAGUGCAUCUGCAUUAACUUAACUAGAAAACCUCAAAGAGUCCUGUGGCCCAAGUCUGCUGCAGCGGUCAAAGAACAGUGCAGCAAAGAAGAUCCCUAGGAGGCCAGGAUUAUCUCAGGAUUUCAUGAAGAGGAGAAAUGGAGGUCAUUUCCUAGAGAUUAAUGGAUAAUUUGAUUGUGAGAAGAAAAUUGUUUAAGGAGCAGGGGUGGGUAUGGAGGCAAAUGUCACACACUCCAGAAGGUAAAGUGACCUGGCUCUUCCCCUCUCACUCCUUGGAAAGAAGGAAAGCUCAUCAGAGCCAGGACCCUGGAAAAGUGAUGUGAUGAAGAGAAGGAGGCCCUGAAUACCACCAUCUGAAGGCAUUUCCAAGGAAGCCAGGGAUGUGACUCUGUCUCGGUUGCAGAGAUCAAAAGGUUUUGUGAAGGAAGCAAUGGCUCUCUAGCCCCCUUCUGGGUGGAUUCUGGGGUAGAAGGAUCCGGUUCCUUUGAUAACUGGUUAGUUAUAGCUAUAGGGUGAAGCCAAUUGAGUAACAUUGGUCUGGGCUUCCAGAGACACAAGGUCUUCUUGAACCAUAAGCUCUCAGAACAAUGCCCCACCUAGGCAGAGCAGAGAACCCUGAACCUUUUGCCUGGAGAGAACAAAGAAGCGCACAGCUCAGGAGCCACCAGACCUGGGACUACCCAUUGGACCCCUAAUCUCCACUGUUCUUGGCCUGUCUCUCUUUCCCAUUAGAUUGUGAGCUCUUUGAGAACAGAGACUACCUCUUCUCCAUCCUUGUUUCCCUAGCCUAGUACACCAUCAAAUAAUGCUGUGGAAAGAAAAAGUAAAGGAAUAAAUAAAUAACCCUUAGAUAAGUGGGUCAUCCACCAAUCCUCAAUUCCUGAUUAGUAAAAUGAGAAUAACAAUAGCUACUAACAAGAGUAUUGUGUAGACUGUAUGACUUAAUGAAUGUGAAAGCACCCGUAUGGAG